rnacentral:lncRNA from 1 species
UGAUAAAUCUCUCAACAAGGGUCUAACUCAUUUUGAACAAACUCAAUACAGAGUAUAUAGCUUAUAUAAUCAUAAUUAAUAUUUUCAGUUUUAUCAGGCAUAUAAAACACUGAGGAUGGUAGCUGGAAUUUUGAAUAUUUUGAAAUAAAUUCUCCAAGCAACAAUGAUAUCAAGAAUAAGAAACUCAUACUCUACCAUCACAUAUUCCAUAUUGACUUAAGUAACACAGGGUU